GCGCCGAUAGUCUAGCCUGGUAGGAUCGAGGCCUCCCACGGAAAUUCUAAUUCCCGAAUCCGGAGACAGCCUUGGGCCCGGGUUCAAGUCCCGGUCGGCGCA
rnacentral:tRNA from 1 species